rnacentral:rRNA from 1 species
AUGAACGCUAGCUACAGGCUUAACACAUGCAAGUCGAGGGGCAGCAUUUUAGUUUGCUUGCAAACUGAAGAUGGCGACCGGCGCACGGGUGAGUAACACGUAUCCAACCUGCCGAUAACUCCGGAAUAGCCUUUCGAAAGAAAGAUUAAUACCGGAUAGUAUACGAAUAUCGCAUGAUAUUUUUAUUAAAGAAUUUCGGUUAUCGAUGGGGAUGCGUUCCAUUAGUUUGUUGGCGGGGUAACGGCCCACCAAGACUACGAUGGAUAGGGGUUCUGAGAGGAAGGUCCCCCACAUUGGAACUGAGACACGGUCCAAACUCCUACGGGAGGCAGCAGUGAGGAAUAUUGGUCAAUGGGCGAGAGCCUGAACCAGCCAAGUAGCGUGAAGGAUGAAGGCUCUAUGGGUCGUAAACUUCUUUUAUAUGGGAAUAAAGUUUUCCACGUGUGGAAUUUUGUAUGUACCAUAUGAAUAAGGAUCGGCUAACUCCGUGCCAGCAGCCGCGGUAAUACGGAGGAUCCGAGCGUUAUCCGGAUUUAUUGGGUUUAAAGGGAGCGUAGGUGGAUUGUUAAGUCAGUUGUGAAAGUUUGCGGCUCAACCGUAAAAUUGCAGUUGGAACUGGGAGUCUUGAGUACAGUAGAGGUGGGCGGAAUUCGUGGUGUAGCGGUGAAAUGCUUAGAUAUCACGAAGAACUCCGAUUGCGAAGGCAGCUCACUAGACUGUCACUGACACUGAUGCUCGAAAGUGUGGGUAUCAAACAGGAUUAGAUACCCUGGUAGUCCACACAGUAAACGAUGAAUACUCGCUGUUUGCGAUAUACAGUAAGCGGCCAAGCGAAAGCAUUAAGUAUUCCACCUGGGGAGUACGCCGGCAACGGUGAAACUCAAAGGAAUUGACGGGGGCCCGCACAAGCGGAGGAACAUGUGGUUUAAUUCGAUGAUACGCGAGGAACCUUACCCGGGCUUAAAUUGCAACAGAAUAUAUUGGAAACAGUAUAGCCGUAAGGCUGUUGUGAAGGUGCUGCAUGGUUGUCGUCAGCUCGUGCCGUGAGGUGUCGGCUUAAGUGCCAUAACGAGCGCAACCCUUAUCUUUAGUUACUAACAGGUCAUGCUGAGGACUCUAGAGAGACUGCCGUCGUAAGAUGUGAGGAAGGUGGGGAUGACGUCAAAUCAGCACGGCCCUUACGUCCGGGGCUACACACGUGUUACAAUGGGGGGUACAGAAGGCGGCUACCUGGUGACAGGAUGCUAAUCCCAAAAACCUCUCUCAGUUCGGAUCGAAGUCUGCAACCCGACUUCGUGAAGCUGGAUUCGCUAGUAAUCGCGCAUCAGCCAUGGCGCGGUGAAUACGUUCCCGGGCCUUGUACACACCGCCCGUCACACCAUGAGAGUUGGAAAUACCCGAAGCCUGUGAGCUAACCUAUGAGGCAGCAGUCGAAGGUAGAGCCAAUGAUUGGGGUG